rnacentral:rRNA from 1 species
UACGUAGGGGGCAAGCGUUGUCCGGAUUUAUUGGGCGUAAAGAGCGUGUAGGCGGCCGUACAGGUCAGCUGUGAAAACUCGAGGCUCAACCUCGAGACGUCGGUUGAAACCGUACGGCUAGAGUCCGGAAGAGGAGAGUGGAAGUUCCCGGUGUGAGCGGUGAAAUGCGCAGAUAUCGGGAAGAACACCCGUGGCGAAGGCGGCUCUCUGGGACGGUACUGACGCUGAGACGCGAAAGCGGUGGGGAGCGAACAGG